AUUGAACGCUGGCGGCAGGCCUAACACAUGCAAGUCGAGCGAGCGGCGGACGGGUGAGUAAUGGCUGGGAAACUGCCUGAUGGAGGGGGAUAACUACUGGAAACGGUAGCUAAUACCGCAUACCAUCAGAUGUGCCCAGAUGGGAUUAGCUAGUAGGGGGGGUAACGGCUCACCUAGUCGACGAUCCCUAGCUGGUCUGAGAGGAUUACCAGCCAGACUGGAACUGAGACACGGGCCAGACUCCUACGGGAGGCAGCGGUGGGGAAUAUUGAACAGUGGGCGCAAGCCUGAUGCAGCCAUGCCGCGUGUGGUAAGAAGGCCUGCGGGUUGUAAAGCACUUUCAGCGGGGAGGCGUUACCCGCAGAAGAAGCACCGGCUAACUCCGUGCCAGCAGCCGCGGUAAUAC
rnacentral:rRNA from 1 species